CCCCAGGAAUGAGGCAUUCAGGUGGCGUGACUGGCGUGCCCUGUCUGCAAUCCUCCCUUUCAGUAAGUCUCUUCAGCCCCAGGACCGAGGCGUUGAGGUGGCGUGAAUUCGGCGUGCCCUGUCUGCAAUCCUGCCUUUCACCCCAGGACCGAGGCGUUGAGGUGGCGUGACUGGCGUGAAUUCGGCAUGCCCUGUCUGCAAUCCUGCCUUUCAGUAAGGGGCAGUAAGGACAAGAUCCACCCACCACCCAGUGCAUGCUACAUAUGUGUGUGUAAUAAAUUGAGAGGGAAAGUGUGUGUGAUAAAUGAAAUUUAAUAAAGUAAGUAAAAUUUUGAA